GGUCCCUUAGCUCAGCUGGAUAGAGCGCCACCCUCCGAAGGUGGAGGCCGAACGUUCGAAUCGUUCAGGGACCGCCA
rnacentral:tRNA from 1 species